CACAUUCACUUCAAGUUAAUUUCCACUCCCAUGAUAAUUUUCUGUGAAAUGAAUUUCAUUUGUGCAGUCCGUGGGUUUUGGGGAUUUUUCCUACUUUGUAGUGCGAUUUUGGGUUGCUGUUGACAAUCUCCCACAGCAAAUAUAAUUCUCUGCCGUUCAAUAAAUAUGCGUUCUUGACAACCCAUAAUGCUUAUGCUAUCGAUGGAGAGCCAUCUCACACAGGAGUUCCUUGGAUUACCCUCGUAAAUCAAGAAGAUACUGUCACUCAACAGCUAAAUAAUGGAGUUCACGGCUUGAUGCUCGAUACGUAUGAUUUUCAAGGAGAUGUUUUGUGACGCCCCCAAUUCUCACGUAUGGACACGUGGAAAAUCGAAGCAUCGAGAUGAUGACAACACGGGUCACCAUCCUAUCGCCAAGUGCCAAGUGUGUAUACGUGCAACAAGUGUACAAUAAAAACACACAGCAGAUAAUAAAAGUCUUAUAACUAAG